rnacentral:rRNA from 1 species
UAUCUCUGUAGAGUCUGCAUAUCAAUAAGCGGAGGAAAAGAAACUAACAAGGAUUCCCUUAGUAACGGCGAGUGAAGCGGGAAGAGCUCAAAUUUGAAAUCUUCAAGGUUCUACCUUGACGAAUUGUAGUUUAAAGAAGUGUUUUCUGUUAGAUGAGUAGCAAAAGUUCCUUGGAAUGGGACAUCAUAGAGGGUGAGAAUCCCGUAUUUGGUUAUUCAUUCUAGCUUUGUGAUACACUUUCAAAGAGUCGGAUUGUUUGGGAAUGCAGUCCAAAAUGGGUGGUAAAUUUCAUCUAAAGCUAAAUAUUGGCGAGAGACCGAUAGCGAACAAGUACCGUGAGGGAAAGAUGAAAAGAACUUUGAAAAGAGAGUUAAACAGUACGUGAAAUUGUCAAAAGGGAAGCGUUUGACACCAGUGUUGUUUUUCCGAAAAUCAAUUACGAAUGGCUUGAUUUUGUGUUGUAUUGACCUUAUCAGCUUUCUUCACUUUUUUCAUGUCUUUUCUUAAUGCACUUUUCGUUUAACAAGUCAACAUCAGUUUCUUUUGUUGUAAAAAGGUCAUUCGGAAGGUGGCUUUCUUUUCGGAGAAAGUGUUUAUAGCCCUAUACUUCUACAAUCGGAGAGAUUGAGGUCUGCAGCGUAGAUCCUUCGGGGUUAGAUACACUUGUGCUAAGUUGUAGCUUUUCAUAGACAACUUGUUGACUAUGUUUAGUCAUGCGGCUUACUCGCUUGUGCUAUUUUACCUACGCUUAGGAUGUUGACUGAUAUGUAGUCGU